UGUUGCUCUAUCUGCAGUUAGUCCAAUUGGGUUAAAGACACAGUGACAACUUUUUGUUUUCUGCAGAGAUGACAAGAAGUUCCUAUUUGCUUGCCAUUUUAUGUUUUUCAUCUGGGUUUGCUCUUAAUCAAUCUCCAGAUGUGGUGGCCUGGGAGGGACAGCCAGUCAGUCUCACCUGUUCACAGGUGGGAACCAAUGAUGUGUACAUGUCCUGGUACAAGCAAGAAAGGGUCAAGGAUGCUCGCCUUCAGCUGAUUCUUUUAACAUCAGAAGGUUCUACAGGAAAUCCGGUCAUUGAGAAGGAAUUUCAAGACCGUUUCAGUAGCACCGGCAUGGCAAAAUAUAAAUUGCCUCUGUCUUUGAAGAAUGCCCAGGUGGGAGACACCGGCACCUACUUCUGUGCAAAGCAAGAUUACACAGAGAGGCAACUGCUGAGGAAGCCAAGCAUAAACCUUUUCACAGCAGGAUGCAAGUAUGAUGGGCUCAAACACAGCACCAGUCAGAAUAUUUUGGGACUUAACGAAGAAAACAUUGACUGCAUUCCUUUGUGUGUAUGAGAUUUGUAUGUGUGUGUAUAUGUCUUCCAUUAUCUGUCAACUUAUGCAUCUCACAGGGUUUUCUAAGGCAAGAAAUGCUCAAAGGUGGUUUGCCCA